UACGAAGGGGGCUAGCGUUGUUCGGAAUCACUGGGCGUAAAGCGCACGUAGGCGGAUUGUUAAGUCGGGGGUGAAAGCCCGGGGCUCAACCUCGGAAUUGCCUUCGAUACUGGACAUCUUGAGUACGGGAGAGGUGAGUGGAACUCCGAGUGUAGAGGUGAAAUUCGUAGAUAUUCGGAAGAACACCAGUGGCGAAGGCGACUCACUGGCCCGUUACUGACGCUGAGGCGCGAAAGCGUGGGGAGCAAACAGG
rnacentral:rRNA from 1 species